AGAGUUUGAUCCUGGCUCAGGACGAACGCUGGCGGCGUGCCUAAUACAUGCAAGUCGAGCGAGCUUGCCUAGAUGAUUUUAGUGCUUGCACUAAAUGAAACUAGAUACAAGCGAGCGGCGGACGGGUGAGUAACACGUGGGUAACCUGCCCAAGAGACUGGGAUAACACCUGGAAACAGAUGCUAAUACCGGAUAACAACACUAGACGCAUGUCUAGAGUUUGAAAGAUGGUUCUGCUAUCACUCUUGGAUGGACCUGCGGUGCAUUAGCUAGUUGGUAAGGUAACGGCUUACCAAGGCAAUGAUGCAUAGCCGAGUUGAGAGACUGAUCGGCCACAUUGGGACUGAGGCACGGCCCAAACUCCUACGGGAGGCAGCAGUAGGGAAUCUUCCACAAUGGACGAAAGUCUGAUGGAGCAACGCCGCGUGAGUGAAGAAGGGUUUCGGCUCGUAAAGCUCUGUUGGUAGUGAAGAAAGAUAGAGGUAGUAACUGGCCUUUAUUUGACGGUAAUUACUUAGAAAGUCACGGCUAACUACGUGCCAGCAGCCGCGGUAAUACGUAGGUGGCAAGCGUUGUCCGGAUUUAUUGGGCGUAAAGCGAGUGCAGGCGGUUCAAUAAGUCUGAUGUGAAAGCCUUCGGCUCAACCGGAGAAUUGCAUCAGAAACUGUUGAACUUGAGUGCAGAAGAGGAGAGUGGAACUCCAUGUGUAGCGGUGGAAUGCGUAGAUAUAUGAAGAACACCAGUGGCGAAGGCGGCUCUCUGGUCUGCAACUGACGCUGAGGCUCGAAAGCAUGGGUAGCGAACAGGAUUAGAUACCCUGGUAGUCCAUGCCGUAAACGAUGAGUGCUAAGUGUUGGGAGGUUAUCCGCCUUGUCAGUGCUGCAGGAUAAACGCAUUAAGCACUCCGCCAGGGGGAGUAAGGACCGCAAGAGGUGAAAUUCAAAGGAAUUGAACGGGGGCCCGCACAGGGCGGUGGAGCAGGUGGUUUAAUUUGAAACAACGCGAAGAACCUUACCAGGUCUUGACAUCCAGUGCAAACCUAAGAGAUAAGGUGUUCCCUUCGGGGGACGCUGAGACAGGUGGUGCAUGGCUGUCGUCAGCUCGUGUCGUGAGAUGUUGGGUUAAGUCCCGCAACGAGCGCAACCCUUGUCAUUAGUUGCCAUCAUUAAGUUGGGCACUCUAAUGAGACUGCCGGUGACAAACCGGAGGAAGGUGGGGAUGACGUCAAGUCAUCAUGCCCCUUAUGACCUGGGCUACACACGUGCUACAAUGGUCGGUACAACGAGAAGCGAACCUGCGAAGGCAAGCGGAUCUCUUAAAGCCGUUCUCAGUUCGGACUGUAGGCUGCAACUCGCCUACACGAAGCUGGAAUCGCUAGUAAUCGCGGAUCAGCACGCCGCGGUGAAAAGGUUCCUCGGGCUCUUGUACUCACCGCCCGU
rnacentral:rRNA from 1 species